rnacentral:rRNA from 1 species
UACGGAGGAGGCAAGCGUUAUCCGGAAUUAUUGGGCGUAAAGCGUCCGCAGGUGGCGAUUCAAGUCUGCGGUCAAAGACUGGGGCUUAACCCUGGAAAGGCCGUGGAAACUGAAAAGCUAGAGUGCAGUAGGGGUAGAGGGAAUUCCCGGUGUAGCGGUGAAAUGCGUAGAGCUCGGGAAGAACAUCGGUGGCGAAAGCGCUCUGCUGGACUGCAACUGACACUAAGGCGCGAAAGCGUGGGGAGCGAACAGG